ensembl:lncRNA
UUUGUGUGUGUGUGUGUGUGUGUGUGUGUGUGUGUGCGUGUGCGUGUGCGUGUCUGUGUGUGUCCUCCAAACACAACCUGCAGCCCUGCUAUAACAGUGUCAGAACCCAUUGAGUCCAGAUCGGUGGUCCUAGGAGGCGGAGAGGGAGGGUCAAUGACCCCGCCACAGCCACCAGGCAGACGCCAGUCACCAUCUGCAGGCUGCGUGCAUCCGGCUGCGCCGCUGGUGCACGUGGCCGGCGCUCACUGCACGCGCCCAGUACAGCGGGACCACAACAACCUGAAACAAGACAUGUUUUUGCUAAUAUGUGGAAAAAUCAUUUUUCAAAAACCCAAAUGUUUUAGACACAGACACACACACAGACACACACACACACACACACACACACACACACACACACACACACACACACACACACACACACACACACACACACACACACACACACACACACACACACAUCUCUGUUCAGCAUGAUCUACAUUCUAAUCCCAAUUGAAUGCAACUUUUUCCUUUUGUUUUGGGUUUGCUAAAAAUGCUGUCUUAUUUAAUUGUGAUGUGCAGAUUAUUAUAAACAGACAGAUAUACAUGCGCACACUUGCAGACAAAGACAUGCACACCCUCAAUUCAGCAGGAAAAAGCAGAGAGGGAAAAAUGUUAUUUUAGAGUUUUAUUUUGGUUACCAUUUGAAUUGAAUUGACAAUUGUUAUUUUUAUUAGUGAUAAAUAUUCGAAUUGUGGGUUUAAGUGUUGAUACAAAUAAGCUUGCAUGAUGGCGUGUGUGUGAGUGAGUGCUUAAUGUGCUGUUGGCAGCACUGCACUUGAUGUGAAGGGGUUCAUGUUGGAGGUUGACUCACGCCACUGUUAGACUCACGCUGUGCGAGUUUAGCAGGAUUAGGAGCAGGGAAGAUUUGUAUGAAGUAAUAAGCUACUCGGAACCAUGAUACCAUACCAACAGAGGUACCUGAUUCAGCUCCAGUGGCUUUCCUUAAUCAUUGUAUCUACGAGGAGCCCUCAUGUAGUCCUUCAUAACCCCAACGCUAACUCAUUACAGCCAUGAUUUGCAGCGAAAGAGAUCUGAUCAAAUCGGCACACGCCACACGAUGCAGGCAGGAGUUAAAAAUACUCUACUCUGGUGUUUUCUCAAGAUAAAUCUCAAUGUGAACAGACAUUCUGCACUUUGUUUAUUUCUCUAUGAAGCACUGUGCAUAUUUCUUUGUCAUUUUGAAACAUUUCAGUGAUAAAUCGUCGUAGACUGCACUUUCUGAGAAGUUUUGAUGCUGGGGAAUUUAUAUUAAGGUGUUAUUAAUUUGAAUUGUUUAAAAAGAGCAUAUGACUCAUAUUAUUUAAUCAUGUAGAUGGUACACCUAUAGCAGGCCUAUUCUUGCACAGAUACUUUUGAUUGGUUACUUAGACGCUGAUUGGUUUACCAUUCCCAGGACACUGAUGUAACUAUGAGGGUUAUUAGAAGACCCAGGUGGCUUUGUAAAUUCACAGACACUGAAACAAACGGCCUUCAUCUUUUUCAAUUAUCUCUUAUCUCUCCCUGUGUCUUUCUCUUACACACACACACACAGUAACACACACGCACACAGGCGCAAAUACUCUGAAGCUAAGAGUUUGGUCUCUGCAAACUUCAUCGCACCUUCCGUGUAACCCUAAUUCAGUCGUGUGAAAGUAAAGCUGCUUUGGCAAUUUUCCCGUUCCCAUUUACACAGAUGUGUGAAAAGGCUGAGAGAGCCACAGUGAGAGGGGGGGAGAGGGGAUAGGGGACGGACCACAAGAGAGAGAGGAGAAAAGAGAAAGAUGGAGAAUACAUUGAAAUGGAUAAACAACAUGGUGUCUGAGUGCUGCUAGUCUUUGCUCACUGAGAUAACGGAGUAGGCCACAGCCCAAGGUUACUGUGCCUCUUGAUGCUAAACACGGAGGCCUCAAUACAAUUGAUCUAUAUUGUGUGGUCUGUCCAUUCUGUCCAGAUGUGUGUACGAGUGUCCUUCCGUACAGAUGAAGAAGAGAGGGUGCCGUCUGUAUUCAGCUAUGCCCUCCCAUGUUUGGGCUGCAGUGUUUGCAUGAAUCUGGUUUUCACUAGUAACUUGUCGUAUGCCCCAAUCAUCAAACCCUAAUAUAUAAUACCCUAAAAUAAACUGGAACUGUGAUGCACCGUCACUGAUUUGUAUUGUUUUAAUUGCACCUUUAACGAUAACAGCCCACCUCCUGACUCUCUUCACGUCAAACAUGAGGAAGAACUUUCUGCAGUGAUUUCCGUCCAGGCGUGGGGAGAUGGUGGAGAUUUGAGAGUCCUUGAACACAGAGCUUGCCAAAAGCACCUGCUUCCAAAUGUAAUGGGAUGGUAUGUAAUGGUUAGGCUUAUGUAUAGACAACUAUUAGGCCAAUAUAAUAAAUUGGCCUAGUCAUUUAAUUUGUCAAAUUGUUAAUUAAAUGUGACACCCUUCCAAAUGGUCUUGCUAAUCCAUGUCACCUAGUUCACAAACCGGGACACAAAUAUUACAAUUCAAUAGGUAAAUGAACAAUAUUUAAACUAUGAUCUCAUCAUGGUAUGACCAACAUCACAUCACCUAUAAUCUGCAUAAUAAGACGUUGUGCCUUAUCACUUCAAAUGAUAAGGCCUAGCUUUUGAAAUGGGUUAUCAUUCAGGGAAUAAAGGCCUGAGUUAAUUAUUCACUCACUAAAGCUGCAGGAUGAUAGUGUUGUGCCCGCGGACUGGUACUUUGUGAACCAACGAGACUCCUCAUUCGGGUGCUUCGUCAAACGCGGCUGUUGUAGGCCUACCUUUGUGGAGCUGAAGCAUGCUCCAAUAAACUUCGAAACCUUAAAAACUUGACAAUCGUUGACCCAAAUACUUUGAUCGUUUUGCCCUCAAGGUUUUAAGCUUGAUUAUCUG